rnacentral:tRNA from 1 species
CAGAGCGUAGCUAAAGUAGAAAAGUAUCUCCCUUACACUGAGAAGUUAUCCGUGCAAGUCGGAUCGCCCUGAC